rnacentral:tRNA from 1 species
GUGGGCGUAGUUCAGCUGGUAGAACGCUUGGUUGUGGUCCAGGAGGUCGCGGGUUCAAGUCCCGUCGUUCACCCCA